rnacentral:rRNA from 1 species
AAUCUACUCAUAAUGCCGAUAAUGAAUGCCUAGGAGAUUUUGGCCGAGGAAGGACGCAUACGGCGGCGAUACUCGUCGGGGAGGUGCCACAAACCUUUGAUCCGGCGGUUUCCGAAUGGAGCAAUCCAGCCAUCGCAAGAUGGUUAACCAAUUUUAAAAAUAGAGCCGCAAGGUUUUAUAUAGGAAUUGGUGGGGCACGGCGUGAACUGAAACAUCUAAGUAACGCCAGGAAAAUAAAUCAUUGAGAUUCCCCUAGUAGCGGUGAGCGAAAAGGGAAAAGUCUAAACCACUCGCAAGAGUGGUGUUGCAGGGCAGACGAUAUUCGAUGUGAGAAUAGAUAGCAGAAAGAUCCGGAAUGGUCUUCCAUAGAGAGUGAAAGACUCGUAUGCGAAAUUUAUUCUCCCGAUAGUUUGUACCUAAGUACCAUGGGGUACGGUGAAACCCUGUGGGAAUCUGGGGCGGCCACGCUCUAAGACUAAAUAUCAAAAUCUACCGAUAGUGAACUAGUACCGCGAGGGAAAGGUGAAAAGCACCCCGGAAGGGGAAUGAAAUAGAACUGAAAUUGUCGGCUGACAAGCAGGCGGAGUUCCGCAAGGAAUGACGCCGUGCCUAUUGAAGAAUGAACCGGUGAGUUAUUAAUUGCUGCGUUAGCCUAACCAUCUAAGAUGGGGAGGCAUAGUUAAUGCAAGCCCUAAUUGGGCAUCAGUAGCAAUUAUUAGACCCGAAGCUGGGUGAGCUAACCUUGAGCAGGGUGAACCCUAUCGAAAGACAGGGGGAGGCCCGAACUCGUGACUGUAGCAAUAGUCUGAGAUGACUUGAGGUUAGGGGCAAUAUGCCAAUCGAACCCAGAGAUAGCUGGUUCUCCCCGAAAUAUAUUUAGGUAUAGCGCUCGUUGGACCCCUCCAGGGGUAG